GAGCGCCGUAGCAAUACGGAGCGGCAGACGGGAGAGUAACACGUGGGAACGUGCCCUUCAGUUCGGAACAACCCAGGGAAACUUGGGCUAAUACCGGAUACGUCCGUAAGGAGAAAGAUUUAUCGCUGAAGGAUCGGCCCGCGUCUGAUUAGCUUGUUGGUGAGGUAACGGCUCACCUCCGCGACGAUCAGUAGCUGGUCUGAGAGGAUGAUCAGCCUCACUGGGACUGAGACACGGCCCAGACUCCUACGGGAGGCAGCAGUGGGGAAUAUUGGACAAUGGGCGCAAGCCUGAUCCAGCCAUGCCGCGUGGGUGAUGAAGGCCUUAGGGUUGUAAAGCCCUUUCGGCGGGGAAGAUCCUCACGGUACCCGCAGAAGAAGCCCCGGCUAACUUCGUG
rnacentral:rRNA from 1 species